rnacentral:lncRNA from 1 species
AACCGGGGAGGACAUACAGGGCCCCAGGAAACCUACCAGCUCCAGAGAGGCACGGCCUACCCCACACCACACCCUGGGUUUCUCC